rnacentral:rRNA from 1 species
AACGAACGCUGGCGGCAGGCCUAACACAUGCAAGUCGAGCGAGCAUUUCGGUGCUAGCGGCGGACGGGUGAGUAACGCGUGGGAACGUGCCCUUUUCUGCGGAAUAGUCCUGGGAAACUGGGGGUAAUACCGCAUACGCCCUUUUGGGGAAAGAUUUAUCGGAGAAGGAUCGGCCCGCGUUGGAUUAGGUAGUUGGUGGGGUAAUGGCCCACCAAGCCGACGAUCCAUAGCUGGUUUGAGAGGAUGAUCAGCCACACUGGGACUGAGACACGGCCCAGACUCCUACGGGAGGCAGCCGUGGGGAAUCUUAGACAAUGGGGGCAACCCUGAUCUAGCCAUGCCGCGUGAGUGAUGAAGGCCUUAGGGUUGUAAAGCUCUUUCAGCUGGGAAGAUAAUGACGGUACCAGCAGAAGAAGCCCCGGCUAACUCCGUG